CAGUACCGUGAGGGAAAGGCGAAAAGAACCCCGGCGAGGGGAGUGAAAAAGAACCUGAAACCGUGUACGUACAAGCAGUGGGAGCCUCUUAAUGGGGUGACUGCGUACCUUUUGUAUAAUGGGUCAGCGACUUAUAUUCUGUAGCAAGGUUAACCGAAUAGGGGAGCCGAAGGGAAACCGAGUCUUAACUGGGCGUUAAGUUGCAGGGUAUAGACCCGAAACCCGGUGAUCUAGCCAUGGGCAGGUUGAAGGUUGGGUAACACUAACUGGAGGACCGAACCGACUAAUGUUGAAAAAUUAGCGGAUGACUUGUGGCUGGGGGUGAAAGGCCAAUCAAACCGGGAGAUAGCUGGUUCUCCCCGAAAGCUAUUUAGGUAGCGCCUCGUGAAUUCAUCUCCGGGGGUAGAGCACUGUUUCGGCAAGGGGGUCAUCCCGACUUACCAACCCGAUGCAAACUGCGAAUACCGGAGAAUGUUAUCACGGGAGACACACGGCGGGUGCUAACGUCCGUCGUGAAGAGGGAAACAACCCAGACCGCCAGCUAAGGUCCCAAAGUCAUGGUUAAGUGGGAAACGAUGUGGGAAGGCCCAGACAGCCAGGAUGUUGGCUUAGAAGCAGCCAUCAUUUAAAGAAAGCGUAAUAGCUCACUGGUCGAGUCGGCCUGCGCGGAAGAUGUAACGGGGCUAAACCAUGCACCGAAGCUGCGGCAGCGACACUAUGUGUUGUUGGGUAGGGGAGCG
rnacentral:rRNA from 1 species